GUGUGUCUCUGACUUGCAAGGCUUGGCUUCUAGUUCCAUCUUAGCUAUGCUGUGAGUUUCAGGCCACCACUUGUCCCUGUCUACUCAAUGGAAAGACCAGCUUCUGCUCACCUACUGCAUUAUCUGGGUUUGGGUGCAAUGAGUGUGACCUAGAAAGUCUGAGAUUUUACAAACAGAUAGGACAAAGAGACUAAUGGCUGUUUUAGAAAGUGAUCAAUACUUUAACAUUUUAAACAAUAUCGAUAGCCUAACAUUUUAAAAACGUAUUAUCACCAUUCUUAUGGACCUUGGUCCUUCUUAUUUGGCUCUGCCAUGUGCCUUUCUUGCUCCUCCUCCUUGAAUGUUUUUAUGAUGUUGUGUAACUGCCUCACAUUUGUAUUUAAUUGACUCUAAGUGUAUUGUUCCAAAAUCUUUUACUGACUAGCACGUGGCUCCCUGGGCACUGACUCUGCACUUGUGUGGUAGCGGUGAUUGUGUGUGUGUGUGUGUGUGUGUGUGUGUGUGUGUGUGUGUGUAACUGAGAGAAAGAAAGCAACUCAGCAAGUGCCAACUGGCAGCCUCUCUGGAUCAAUAAUAUUAACUAUUUCAGAGACUUCCAAGGAGAUAUUGCCAACUCUUUUGUUUUUUUUCAAUACUAUUAUCGCUAUUACAAGGGCACCCCAAGGCCCUUUUACUUAAAUACAUGACAGAAUGACCCAAAUGAGAGUACUAUUGGUUUCUGCCUUCAAGAGCUGCAACUUCAAUGGCUCGUACAAGAUGGGUGGUUGGGGUUAGGCUUAAUCUUAAUUUUGAGGUCAAGGUUUCACAAGGAGGGAUGGCAGGAUCUCCUGGGAGCUCAUUGUGUGACUGCUACCCUUGUGACCACUUGCUCAGCCUUACUCUGAGAGUUUCCAUCUGCCUUUAUGAAGACAUGUUUAUAGAAAUCUAGGACCACAUUGGCAAAACAAAGUAGUGUUUAAGUGCAUAGGCUUUGGAAAAGGCAUUCUGGUUCUACCCUCUGCUCUGUCAUUUAUGGAUGUGUGAUCUUCUCAAGGCCCUCCAUCUCUCGAGGCUCCAUUCCCUAUUCUGUGGACUGUGGGACCGAGAAGUUGUCUAGUGGUGAAUGACAACUGAGAUUCUGUGAUGGUCAUUCAUUGCAGGGGUUGGAGAGCCAGAGGGAGGGCAUGUAGCUCAAGUGAGAAGACAAAGGCCUGAGAACUCCAUGGAAGUCUUUAUUAAUUAAUGUACUUAUUUAUUUAUGUUAAAAUAUUUUUAAAUUGACACAUACUAAUUGUACAUAUUAGUGAGGUACGUAGUAAUGUUGCCAUAUGAUAUGGUUUGGCCGUGUCCCCACCCAAAUCUCAUCUUGAAUUCCCAAGUGUUGUGAAAGGAACCCAGUGGGAGGUGAUUGAAUUAUGGGGUUGGGUCUUUCCUGCGCUGUUCUCACUAUGGUGAAUAAGUCUCACGAGAUCUGAUGGUUUUAAAAAGGGGAGUUUCCUUGCACAAGCUCUCUUCUCUUGUCUGCUGCCAUGUGAGACGUGCCUUUCACCUUCUGCCAUGAUUGUGAGGCCUUCCCAGCCAUGUGGAA
rnacentral:lncRNA from 1 species